rnacentral:rRNA from 1 species
GUGGAUUAGAUACCCUGGUAGUCCACGCUGUAAACGUUGCAUACUCGAUCUUAGCGAUACACAGUUAGGAUCCAAGCGAAAGCGUUAAGUAUGCCACCUGGGAAGUACGAUCGCAAGAUUGAAACUCAAAGGAAUUGACGGGGGCCCGCACAAGCGGAGGAGCAUGUGGUUUAAUUCGAUGAUACGCGAGGAACCUUACCUGGGCUUGAAUGUGAGUGACGGAUGCCGAAAGGUGUCUUCCCUUCGGGGCACAAAACAAGGUGCUGCACGGCUGUCGCCAGCU